GUGACAGAGAGACUGACCUAACUUAGAGCAUUUUGGAAAAGAAGAGUUCUAAAUUCUGUGAACCCCUAUUAGCAAGAAACUUCUAAAGAAUGGAGUCCUUAAAAAACUUGGAUAUACGGCACUGUUCUAAUUUCCUAGAUAAAUAAUUUUUCCUCAACAGGAAAUAGUGUAAACCACAGAUAACUUGGAACAUAGCAAGACUGGAAAGAAAUGGAAUUCAAAGCAGUGAGAAAGACUGAGAUAAAAUGGAAGAAUGCUAUGAAGAAGAGAGCAUCAGAUGACAGCUUUCUAAAUAGCAGGGUGACAUACUGAUAAUUCAAUGUGAUGCUAAGAUAAUAAAAAUGCAUAAGAGCACUGGCCUCAUAAACAGACACAUGCUAUCACCAAACAGGGAAGCUGCAGCCUGUAGCUCCUGUUUAUACAGUAAGGUGAGACGCUAUCUAGCAUCCAUCCCCCUUCUAGGUUUGAGUGCCCCAGGAUCAGAAAGAUGCUGAUAACUAGAAAUGAAAGAAAAAACCAACAACAAAAUGAUUAAAGAACUUUUGGAUGCAUGCAGAAAGAUUAG
rnacentral:lncRNA from 1 species